CAGGUGACGUCAGCCGGAGCCCCGGCUGCUGGUGGAGAUUAGAGGCUGCGUCCGGCGGUCGGGGGGGAACCGGGGUGCGGGUCUCGCCGCUGCCUCAGCGGUCGCUGCCGCCGCCGCCCUGCGCCCUCGUCCCAGACAGACUCUUAAAGGAGCCACGCGGUGCCCCAUACCAUGCUCACGACCCCGUGGGCCGGCGAUUUGUGCCCAGGGACGCCACCUCCAGGAAGCCUUCCUGGGCGCAGGGCUCUGCGUCUCCCGGGACCCCUUUGCCUUGCCGCACUCAGAGCCCCGACGGCCUGGACGCGGAGUGCCCUGCUUGCCGGCUGAAGCUGGCGCCGGUUCCCUUUCUCUGCGCAGCCUUUGUUUGCGCAGGGCCGCCUCCAGGAGAGCCUUCCCAGCCCGCUGCCUGGUGUCAAGUCUGGCCAGGCCCCUUGCCUGCCACAUCCACGUUCCCCCGCUCCAAGACCCCCAGAGGUGGAAGCCCCAUGCCGCUUUGCCACGGAGGUAGUUGGAAGCUCAGAGGCGACAUAGUUAGCCUCAGGUCACACAUCCUGUGAACUCGGGUCAAGGGGGAAGUCUCGAGAACGCUUGGGCGCUCUCUCGGUGCAGCGCUGGCUCCAGCCCCCGGGACAGCCAGCCUUCCACCCUUCCCGGGAAGAGCUGCCUCUGCACAGCCCUCCCCGCGCCCACCCUUACAGCCCUGUGAAGGCUGUCCAGUGUUCGCCUCCCGAUGACCCCGGUGAGAACAUAACCGGGCGGCGUGGACGCCGAGAGUCCGGGUCAUGAAGACACAGGUAAUUACACGGGCACAUGUGGGCCAGAAGCAUACAGGGGCGGGACAGAUGCUGGAGUGAGUGGGCAGUCAGGCCACCGCGGGGAGCAGUGGCCGAAUGUAGAGGCAGUGCUGAUGCUGGGGGAGGAACACAGCAAGCCGGGCAGGCAGGUCCUGGGCUUCUCCUGGGGACCAAGGCGAGGGUGCUCCUGCAGUCCUUGUCUAUUGACUCUACGAAUGUUUGCCGGGAUCUUUUCUGAGCUGGGCCCUGCUGCUGGACUUUGAAGACAGAGGUGGAGGAAGGGCUCAAGGAACAGUUUCAGGACAGCCCAGGAGCCCUGGGACACUUUGAAGGCUGUUGGUUCUUCAUCCUGGCAGAUUGCCUCAGAAUUCCUUGGAUUUUCCAGGGAGAUGGCCCUAUCAUCUGCUUCUUCUAACCCUUAUCUGCCUAUCUCUUCCUUGUCACACUGUGUUGGCCAUUACAACAUAAAGUACAUGGUGGUAUGUGGUUCCCAAAAGCAGCCAGAGGCAAACGCUAAUACUUCAUCUGGAGAUCUGCCUUCAUCCAAGGGAUCUUUAGGCCGCAAACCAACCCAGCCUCCUUCACGAGGCCUCUGGCAUCAAUAAGGAAGGUGGUCUCCUCCACUUUACAGACGCAGACCCUGCAGAUACCCUGCCCUUCUCAGGUGCAUAUCCACAUGACCUGACUGCCCUGGGACCCAGCCAGCUGCAUGAUUGUCGGCAGCCUUGAGCUUCCUCGGCACUGACUGAAGUUGUUGCCAGAAACACCAGGAGCAAACAUGUCACAGAGCAGGAUACUGGCUGCCACUCAGAUGAGCCUAUCCCAUGUACCUGGGUGGGAUGCCCUUUCUCUCCCAGUCUAUGCAAGUUCCCUGCACAUGCUGCAGGCAGAUACCUGGCAGCUAGGCUUCCUCAUAGGAGUCCGACCAGCCGUACUUCUGGAGAGCUUGAGGCCGUCCUCACUGGGCACAUCCUGUCACAGCUGCUGGGGUGACAGUAGUGGGUUUGGCUGUAUAGAUAGCAUCUUAGCCCUCUGCAUGGGAGACUGUCAGCAAGGAGCACAGCUGUGCUUUCUCCAUGGGUUGUGGGGACUCUCCAAGUCCUCUAUCCUGUAGGAAAGUGAACAGCAGCUUGGCUCCGCUUGGCCAGCUUGUCCUGGCCCAAACUCCGGUCACUCAGCCUGUAACCACAGACUGAACUCACUUUUGUGACCAGGCGGCCUAAGAGGAGGGGGGUGGGGGUGCCCCUGCUGGGUAGCAUUCACUGGUGAGCUUAAGCUUACCUUGUUCCCUCCGAUUCUGCUUUUGUGCUGAGGUGGUGUGUUUGUUCUGAUUCAUGAAUGGGUGUUAAAUUUUAUGAAAUGCCUUUAUUACAUUUAGUGAGACAAUUGCAUUUUUCUUCUUUUAUUCUAAGAACGUGGUGAAUUGCAAUGAUUGCACUUUGUCAGUCCUUCCUGAUCAUGAUAUAUUUGCUGAUAUUUUGUUAGAUUUUUGCAUUUGUGCAUGAGAUAUUUUGACAUACAGGUUUUCUUUCCUGCUAU